AUGUUGAUUCUGGUUAAAAAGAUUUACUUUAUUGGGAAUGAGUAUGGACUAUACUUUUUAAAUUGUGGUUCCCAUUGCAUUGCAGCUGCAAUAUUGUUGAAGCUCAACCGCAUCGCAUCAAACAAAUCCACACUUUCAAUGGGAUGGGUUUAUGAAUCAUGGUGCAAAAUCGGAGACAUGGACUUUAUGAAUGUUGGGUUUGAAUGCUGGAUUUUAUGA